GACCCUAUAUAAACCGACCGGCCGCCGCCCAAUUGGCACCGCGUUCGCUCGUCGUCUCCGGCCGCCUGCUUUUUUUUCGAUUUUCUCGCGUGUUAGUUCAUCUCCGGCGAUUCAGUGUGGGAGAAGAUAGUAGAAGCAGUUACUGGUUCUCGUAAUUGCUUCUGAUAUCUUUUCCCGUGCUGUUUCUCGAGUUUUCUUGGCGAUUCAGUUGUUCUCUUUCUCUUCUUUUGUGUUCCAGUCGGCCGAUCGGAUCUGCGAAUUUCCUCCUUAAGAUCGCGUUCUGAGUAAAGAUGGAAGUGAGGAUCCUUUCCCCAAAUGAUCGACUAUGAUUAUACUGUGCGCAAAUGUAGUCCUUUCAGAGGAUUCCAAGCCAGAAAUCUGAUCCAUCGCAGAGAACUCUUUCUAGAUCUUUUCUUGUCUGUUCUGUUUUUACGGCGUGUUUUUUCAUGCUUCUGAUUGUUUUUUUUCGUCUCGCAACAGUUUAGAUGGAUAUGAGGAUCCUUUCCCCAAAUGAUCGACUAUGAUUAUACUGUGCGCAAAUGAAAUCCCAUCAGGAUUCCAAGCCAGAAAUCUGAUCCGUCAUAGCGACUCUUUCUUAACGUUUUUUUGAACUUUUGUUUCUUUUUUUCUGUUCGGCACAAUUGUUCGACAUAAAUUGAAUGGAAGUGAGGAUCCUUUCCCCAAAUGAUCGACUACGAUUAUAAUGUGCGCACAUGAAAUCCUUAUCAGAGGAUUCCAAGCCAGAAAUCUGAUCCAUUUAAUUUACCUUCUUGCUUACCUUUGGUUCUUUUUGUUUUUAUCUGUUUAUUUACGUUUGAAACAGAUUAUUUAUGUUGUGACCGUGAACAGUCAUGUGUAAAUGCUGAAGUUGUAAACUGAAUUUAAGUACUCAAAACUUCAAAAAAAAAGUACUCAAAAAUAAUCUUGAUGAUUGCAAUCGUGUUGUGGAGUUAAACUUAACUGUUUAACUGACGGGAGUGUUGUAAGGGCAUACUUAUAUCGGAAAUUGAGAGCAUAAAAUCGGUCUUUGAAUUUGCGGAAUUCUUCACACUGGUGACUAUUGGACGCAGAUACGAGAUUACUUUCACCGAAUUAUCGUCUGUGUAUUGUGUGAGUAAAUGAAAUCUCAUCAGGAUUCCUAUCCAGAAAUUCUUUCCAUCUUGUAAUCUUUGCAUCUUUUUUUAUCCCCCCCCCCCGAUUUUUAGGUUUGUUGAGGUUUGAUGGAUGUGAGGAUCCUUUCCCCAAAUGAUCGACUAUGAUUAUACUGUGCGCAAAUGUAAUCCCAUCAGGAUUCAAAGCCAGAAAUCUGAUCCAUCAUAUUCAACUCUGUUUACCCUUUUGUUUCUGUUUAUUGUUGAUAAGAAUUGUUCGAAAGAAGUGAUUGGCAGUGA